UUGCCAGGUGCGCGGCUCCCUCAGCGACCCUUGCACGAGCCCGCUCUAGGCCUAUUUGGAGAAAUCAGAGCGCAUCACUCACCUCUGACACUGCUCACUUCAGGGCAUCGAAUAAGAACGUGCAGGACUGUGAGAUUUUGGCCGCACUUACUACAAUUUAGAGGAUACUUCUCAAUCUCGAGCUUCCCGACACUCCAGAAGGACGGUCAGCCUCUCCCCGCAUCUACCACAGGUUCGAGGCUCGUUUCCGAGCAAAAUAGGCAACACCCUUCGCAUGUGUGAGGUGGCCAAAGCUUCUAGGAAUGUUCAAGAAGAAUUGUUGCAGGGUGGGGGGCUCAAAUACCGGCGAAAAUAUGCCAGCGAUACGGUUCUAAUCAUUCCCUGCAAAGCGUCAUCAGCGGGAGCAACGGUAACUAUGAAUCGUCGUUUUGGCAUGAAAUUUCUUGUUCUCAUCCUUUCCUUUGUCGCAGCAGUGUUUUUUUCCACUCAAUCAUAUUUAGACGCAAAAGCGACAAAAUUCGUCUGCAGUGGAGCAUGCGGUUUAAAGGCAUUUCGCUGAAGUUCAACAUGUUGUUUGCCACUUACAUUGUUUUCCGCUUCCUUACCGCGUUGCGCUAGCUAGGCAGCACGAGUGCACGAGUGCAUUGUAUUGUAUGUUAGCGCUAUUGAAGUUUGAAAGAACUGAA